GGGGCCCGCAGUGAGGGGAGCAGGCUAUGAAAGCAGAUGCUUAGACCCCAACGCUGGAGGCAGGCCUUGGCAGACGGUGCUUUCUGCCCCUGCCCCGUCCUCACCGUCUCUGCCUGGGUUAGCCAGGCCUUCCCUGCCACACCAUUUCCUGGGCUCCCUGGAGGAUCCUCAGGCUCCACCUUACCUUGGAAGAUAGGAGCCACUGACUUCUACAGGGAGGGUCCUAGCUGAACUGUGCCUUGUGUAUCCCGGAUGUCUGGUCCCAGGAACAGAUGCUCAGAUAUCCCCAGGACCUCCAGAACACCAGACAAGUGCUGUUAGAAUGCAAGAAGUACAGCACCACAGGCUCCAACAGUCCCACAAGGGAGUGGCAGGCAGACAACACCUUCUGCCCUCCAUCUGCCAGAGUUGGAGAUCUGGCCCCCUCCACUUUGCACAGGAAGCUGGGUGCUCAUACAGGCUCCUGGGAACAGGCGUUCAGACUACUUAAAAGUGCCACUGAAGCAGCACGCACAUCUUCUCCCCCGAGGCUGCUUUAAGGCCAGUCCAGACUCCGAAGGGGUGCCUAACGCCGCUGACUUCCCGGGCAGCCCGGAAUGACACAGCACAGGGGCCAAUCCGAAGUUUGGAUUCCGGGAACAGCCACCCGAUUGGACGCAAGUGCAAGCGGCUUCGACCAAUGAUAGAAGAAGGGCAGGAGCCGCGGGCCGCUGGGUUUUAAAUCCACGUGUAGUGGAAGGGCUUGGCGGCAGCUGCUUACUACUGGGGUUCGAGUCCUGUACGGGGAAGGCGGGGGCGGUGCUGACCCCCCUCCUCCUGCGCUCCUGGGCAGAUACCCAUAGUAUCCUACAGACCUUAUAGGGUCUUGUGAAGAUUCGCUGGCAUUCACCCAUUCACAGACGUUAACUGAGCAACUAGUUUGUGCCAGGCAGGGCCUGGUGGCAUGAGGUAGAACCCACAAGAGUCAUGCUGUAAAUGCCACGCUUGCUUCUGUGUAGCCCUGAGCAACGUGUCUUACCCCUACUGCCCGCUGCUCUGCUUCACCCUAGCCCUUAUGCCCUCCCCUACGUGGGCAUGAAUUCCAGGGACAGGAGGUGACGGCGGAGGUACCCUGACAUCUUGCGGUGGGUCUGCCCCAUGGUUCUGUUCAGUGUAUACUUGCUGAAUAAUUAUCUCAAGGAUCGGUUCUUAACCACACUGCUUGCCACGUAGUAGGCUUAAUAAAUGGUAACUGUGCAAUAAAGA